rfam:Heterosiphonia plumosa small subunit ribosomal RNA gene, complete sequence.
AACCUGGUUGAUCCUGCCAGUGGUAUAUGCUUGUCUCAAAGACUAAGCCAUGCAAGUGCCAGUAUGAGUGACUCUACAUAACGAAACUGCGAAUGGCUCGGUAAAACAGCUAUAAUUUAAUCGGGGGUAAUACUACUUGGAUAACCGUAGUAAUUCUAGAGCUAAUACAUGCUACAUAAAGUGGACUUUGGUUCACGGUACAAGGUAUUAGAUACAAACAACAGUUUUCUGUUGAUUCAUACUUUUUGUCUGAUCGCGUGCAUUCGUGCCGAGAUCGACGCCCCGUUUAAAUUUCUGACCUAUCAACUAUGAUGGUAAGGUAGGGUCUUACCAUGGUUGUGACGGGUAACGGACCGUGGGUGCGGGAUUCCGGAGAGGGAGCCUGAGAAACGGCUACCACAUCCAAGGAAGGCAGCAGGCGCGUAACUUACCCAAUGCGGACACCGCGAGGUAGUGACAAGAAAUAGCAAUAGAGGGCCUGAUGGGCUUUUCUAAUUGGAAUGAGAACAAUGUAAACGGCUUAUCGAGGAGCCAGCAGAGGGCAAGUCUGGUGCCAGCAGCCGCGGUAAUUCCAGCUCUGUAAGCGUAUACCAAAGUUGUUGCAGUUAAAACGCUCGUAGUCGAACCUUGGUGGGAUGGCGUGGUGCAUUCGUAAGAUUGUUUGCUGCGCCUUGCACCUUUGUGGAUUGGCGGCAGCCUGGUUCUUUAUUGAGUUGGGCUGUUGCUGCCACCGUUUACUGUGAAUAAAUUAAAGUGUUCAAAGCAAGCGUUUGCCCUGAAUACAUUAGCAUGGAAUAAUAGAAAAGGACCUGUGUUUUCUUUUCUGUUGGUUUGUGAAAAUCGGGUAAUGAUUAAGAGGGACGGUCGGGGGUAUUUGUAUUCCGGCGUUAGAGGUGAAAUUCUUAGAUCGCCGGAAGACAAACAGCUGCGAAAGCGUCUACCAAGGACGUUUUCAUUGAUCAAGAACGAAAGUAAGGGGAUCGAAGACGAUCAGAUACCGUCGUAGUCCUUACUAUAAACGAUGAGGACUGGGGAUCGGGCGUGGCCGCUUAAGGUACGCUCGGCACCCUCCGCGAAAGCAAAGUGUUUGCUUUCUGGGGGGAGUAUGGUCGCAAGGCUGAAACUUAAAGGAAUUGACGGAAGGGCAUCACCGGGUGUGGAGCCUGCGGCUUAAUUUGACUCAACACGGGAAAACUUACUAGGUCAGGACAUCGUAAGGAUUGACAGAUUGAGAGCUCUUUCUUGAUUCGAUGGUUGGUGGUGCAUGGCCGUUCUUAGUUGGUGGAGUGAUCUGUCUGGUUAAUUCCGUUAACGAGCGAGACCUGGGCGUGCUAGCUAGGCGCCACUACUAUUUUUGGUAGUGUUUGUGGUUCCUACCUAGACGGACUGCAGGCUUCUAGCCUGCGGAAGCUCCAGGCAAUAACAGGUCUGAGAUGCCCUUAGAUGUCCUGGGCCGCACGCGUGCUACACUGAAUGGUUCAACGGGUGAGGUGAUGCGAGAGCAUUACCGAAUCUCUAAAUCCAUUCGUGAUGGGAAUAAUGGUCUGCAAUUUUUCCAUUUGAACGAGGAAUACCUUGUAAGCGUGGGUCAUCAUCCCGCGCUGAAUACGUCCCUGCCCUUUGUACACACCGCCCGUCGCUCCUACCGAUUGAGUGGUCCGGUGAGGCCUUGUGAGAUCUGAGAGUCACUGGUAUCUUUUUACCAGUCUUUCGGUUCAACCUUGGUCAAACCUUAUCACUUAGAGGAAGGAGAAGUCGUAACAAGGUUUCCGUAGGUGAACCUGCAGAGGAUACAAGC